CUUUAUCGGAGAGUUUGAUCCUGGCUCAGGACGAACGCUGGCGGCGUGCCUAAUACAUGCAAGUCGAGCGGACAGAUGGGAGCUUGCUCCCUGAUGUU
rnacentral:rRNA from 2 species